rnacentral:rRNA from 1 species
GACGAACGCUGGCGGCGUGCUUAACACAUGCAAGUCGAACGAAGUGGCGAACGGGUGAGUAAUACGUGGGUAACCUGCCCUCCUUUUUGGGAUAAGCCUUGGAAACGGGGUCUAAUACCGAAUAAAGGGGGAUGGGCUCGCGGCCUAUCAGCUUGUUGGUGGGGGGAUGGCCUACCAAGGCGGUGACGGGUAGCCGGCCUGAGAGGGUGAGAGGCAACAGUGGGACUGAGAUACGGCCCAGAUUCCUACGGGAGGCAGCAGGGGGGGAUAUGGCACAAUGGGCGAAAGCCUGACGCAGCUACGCCGCGUGGGGGAUGAAGGCUUUCGGGUCGUAAAGCUCUGUUAAUCGGGACGACGUACCGAAAUAUAAAGCCACGGCUAACUACGUGCCAGCCGCCGCGGUAAUUC